UACGUAGGGGGCAAGCGUUGUCCGGAAUUAUUGGGCGUAAAGCGCGCGUAGGCGGCCCGGUAAGUCCGCUGUGAAAGUCAAAGGCUCAACCUUUGAAUGUCAGCGGAUACUGCCGGGCUAGAGUCCGGAAGAGGCGAGUGGAACUCCUGGUGUAGCGGUGGAAUGCGCAGAUAUCAGGAAGAACACCAACGGCGAAGGCAGCUCGCUGGGACGGAACUGACGCUGAGGCGACGAAAGCGUGGGGAGCGAACAGG
rnacentral:rRNA from 1 species